UACGAAGGGGGCGAGCGUUGUUCGGAAUUACUGGGCGUAAAGGGCGCGUAGGCGGCCAGCACAAGUCAGUUGUGAAAUCUCCGAGCUUAACUCGGAAAGGUCAACUGAUACUGUGCGGCUAGAGUGCGGAAGGGGCAACUGGAAUUCUUGGUGUAGCGGUGAAAUGCGUAGAUAUCAAGAGGAACACCUGCGGCGAAGGCGGGUUGCUGGGCCGACACUGACGCUGAUGCGCGAAAGCGUGGGGAGCAAACAGG
rnacentral:rRNA from 1 species